AUUGAACGCUGGCGGCAGGCUUAACACAUGCAAGUCGAGCGGGGGAAGGUAGCUUGCUACUGGACCUAGCGGCGGACGGGUGAGUAACGCUUAGGAAUCUGCCUAUUAGUGGGGGACAACAUCUCGAAAGGGAUGCUAAUACCGCAUACGUCCUACGGGAGAAAGCAGGGGAUCUUCGGACCUUGCGCUAAUAGAUGAGCCUAAGUCGGAUUAGCUAGUUGGUGGGGUAAAGGCCUACCAAGGCGACGAUCUGUAGCGGGUCUGAGAGGAUGAUCCGCCACACUGGGACUGAGACACGGCCCAGACUCCUACGGGAGGCAGCAGUGGGGAAUAUUGGACAAUGGGGGGAACCCUGAUCCAGCCAUGCCGCGUGUGUGAAGAAGGCCUUAUGGUUGUAAAGCACUUUAAGCGAGGAGGAGGCUACUCUAGUUAAUACCUAGGGAGAGUGGACGUUACUCGCAGAAUAAGCACCGGCUAACUCUGUGCCAGCCGCCGCUGUAAUAC
rnacentral:rRNA from 1 species